rnacentral:rRNA from 1 species
GGAUCAAUUUGCUGAUCGUGCCUCUGGUACGUACUGGUAUUAUUGGUUUCUCCCUUCUGACGGACCAUGAUGUCAUUAAUUUGAUGUCGUGGAGAAUCAGGACUGUUACUUUGAAAAAAUUAGAGUGUUUAAAGCAGGCUAACGCCUGAAUACAUUAGCAUGGAAUAAUGAAAUAGGACGUUCGAUCCUAUUUUGUUGGUUUCUAGGUUUGACGUA